GCAUAUCAAUAAGCGGAGGAAAAGAAACUAACAAGGAUUCCCCUAGUAACUGCGAGUGAAGCGGGAAAAGCUCAAAUUUAAAAUCUGGCGGUCUCUGGCCGUCCGAGUUGUAAUCUAGAGAAGUAAUGCCCGUGCUGGACCGUGUAUAAGUCUCCUGGGAUGGAGCGUCAUAGAGGGUGAGAAUCCCGUCUUUGACACGGACUACCAGUGCAUUGUGGUAUGCUCUCAAAGAGUCGAGUUGUUUGGGAAUGCAGCUCAAAAUGGGUGGUAAAUUCCAUCUAAAGCUAAAUAUUGGCGAGAGACCGAUAGCGAACAAGUACCGUGAGGGAAAGAUGAAAAGAACUUUGGAAAGAGAGUUAAACAGUACGUGAAAUUGCUGAAAGGGAAACGCUUGAAGUCAGUCGCGUUGGCCAGGGAUCAGCCUUGCUUUUGCAUGGUGUACUUUCUGGUUGACGGGUCAGCAUCAAUUUUGACCGCUGGAAAAGGGCCUGGGGAAUGUGGCAGCUUCGGCUGUGUUAUAGCCCCUGGUCGCAUACAGCGGUUGGGAUUGAGGAACUCAGCACGCCGCAAGGCCGGGUUUCGACCACGUUCGUGCUUAGGAUGCUGGCAUAAUGGCUUUAAGCGACCCGUCUUGAAACACGGACCAAGGAGUCUAACAUGCCUGCGAGUAUUUGGGUGGAAAACCCAAGUGCGUAAUGAAAGUGAAAGUUGAGAUCCCUGUCGUGGGGAGCAUCGACGCCCGGACCAGAACUUUUGGGACGGAUCCGCGGUGGAGCAUGUAUGUUGGGACCCGAAAGAUGGUGAACUAUGCCUGAAUAGGGUGAAGCCAGAGGAAACUCUGGUGGAGGCUCGUAGCGAUUCUGACGUGCAAAUCGAUCGUCAAAUUUGGGUAUAGGGGGCGAAAGACUAAUCGAACCAUCUAGUAGCUGGGUCUGC
rnacentral:rRNA from 1 species